AAAGCGGCUGAAGCAGAUUAGCCAAGAUAUCAAACCCCAGCUGAUUGUGCCAUGUAGGGGCUACCAUGGUUAGCUCCAACGCCAUUGCAAAUGGUACAAAAUUGAGAUUCAAUGGAGGAUUACGUACCAGACAUAUAAAAAUAGUUCCGAUGCAAUCUUGGAUAUCCAUCUCCAAUAGAUGCUGCCUAAAUCUCAUUUUUACAACAAAAAUCAAUUGUAGCC
rnacentral:lncRNA from 1 species